rnacentral:ncRNA from 1 species
UUAAUGUGUCAGGGGAGCUUUUGCUGAGAUUAGGAUUUCCUUAAACCCUUUGGACCUGAACAGGUAAUGCUGUUUGGGAAAAGUCUGCCUCUAUUU